rnacentral:tRNA from 1 species
AGGGACCUAGUCUAACUCAAGACCUCUGAUUUCGACUCAGCCAAUUAUGGUUUAACUCCAUAGAUCCCU